GACGAACGCUGGCGGCGUGCUUAACACAUGCAAGUCGAACGGAAAGGCCCUGCUUUUGUGGGGUGCUCGAGUGGCGAACGGGUGAGUAACACGUGAGUAACCUGCCCUUGACUUUGGGAUAACUUCAGGAAACUGGGGCUAAUACCGGAUAGGAGCUCCUGCUGCAUGGUGGGGGUUGGAAAGUUUCGGCGGUUGGGGAUGGACUCGCGGCUUAUCAGCUUGUUGGUGGGGUAGUGGCUUACCAAGGCUUUGACGGGUAGCCGGCCUGAGGGGGUGACCGGCCAGAUUGGGACUGAGAUACGGCCCAGACUCCUACGGGAGGCAGCAGUGGGGAAUAUUGCACAAUGGGCGGAAGCCUGAUGCAGCAACGCCGCGUGCGGGAUGACGGCCUUCGGGUUGUAAACCGCUUUCGCCUGUGACGAAGCGUGAGUGACGGUAAUGGGUAAAGAAGCACCGGCUAACUACGUG
rnacentral:rRNA from 1 species